rnacentral:rRNA from 1 species
GGUAGAGUUCCGCAAUGGGCGAAAGCCUGACGGAGCAAUACCCCGUGAGGGACGAAGGCUUUUGGGUCGUAAACCUCUUUUCCCUGAGAAGAAGAUCUGACGGUAUCAGGGGAAUCAGCAUCGGCUAACUUCGUGCCAGCAGCCGCGGUAAUACGAGGGAUGCAAGCGUUAUCCGGAAUUAUUGGGCGUAAAGCGUCCGCAGGUGGCUCUGUAAGUCUGUCGUUAAAGAAUGGGGCUCAACCCCAUACAGGCGAUGGAAACUACAAGGCUAGAGUUUGGUAGGGGUCACGGGAAUUCCUAGUGUAGCGGUGAAAUGCGUAGAUAUUAGGAAGAACACCAGCGGCGAAAGCGCGUGACUGGGCCAGUACUGACACUCAUGGACGAAAGCUAGGGGAGCGAAAGGGAUUAGAUACCCCUGUAGUCCUAGCCGUAAACGAUGAUAACUAGGUGUUGCCCGUAUCGACCCGGGCAGUGCCGUAGCCAACGCGUUAAGUUAUCCC